rnacentral:rRNA from 1 species
UACGGGGGGGGGUAAGCGUUGUUCGGAAUUACUGGGCGUAAAGGGCUCGUAGGCGGCCAACUAAGUCGGACGUGAAAUCCCUCAGCUUAACUGGGGGAACUGCGUCCGAUACUGGAUGGCUUGGAUUUGGGAGAGGGAUGCGGAAUUCCAGGUGUAGCGGUGAAAUGCGUAGAUAUCAGGAGGAAUACCGAUGGCGAAGGCAGGUCUCUGGGCUGACACUGACGCUCAUGCACGAAAGCGUGGGGAGCAAACAGG